rnacentral:rRNA from 1 species
UACGGAGGGGGCUAGCGUUGUUCGGAAUUACUGGGCGUAAAGCGCACGUAGGCGGACCAGAAAGUUGGAGGUGAAAUCCCAGGGCUCAACCUUGGAACUGCCUUCAAAACUCCUGAUCUAGAGUUCGAGAGAGGUGAGUGGAAUUCCGAGUGUAGAGGUGAAAUUCGUAGAUAUUCGGAGGAACACCAGUGGCGAAGGCGGCUCACUGGCUCGAUACUGACGCUGAGGUGCGAAAGCGUGGGGAGCAAACAGG